CACGUAGGGCGCAAGCGUUGUCCGGAAUUAUUGGGCGUAAAGAGCUCGUAGGCGGUCUGUUGCGUCCGCUGUGAAAACUCGGGGCUUAACCCCGAGCCUGCAGUGGAUACGGGCAGACUAGAGGUAGGUAGGGGAAAAUGGAAUUCCCGGUGUAGCGGUGAAAUGCGCAGAUAUCGGGAGGAACACCGGUGGCGAAGGCGGUUCUCUGGGCCUUACCUGACGCUGAGGAGCGAAAGCGUGGGGAGCGAACAGG
rnacentral:rRNA from 1 species